CAAAUCAAAGAGACAAGACAAUUUAACUGCAAAGAGAUGGAUAUCAGUACACCUUUAGAGAGGGGGACAAUAUAACUGUAUACAGAGGAUAUCAGUGUGGUAUAUUAGUGAUUUGCUGUCUGACUGUUUGAUGGAAGAUGUCUCCAUCAUGCAGACAUGUCAGAGACAGAUUGAUUCAACUGUGAGCAAGGGGAUAUUGGUGUGGUAUAAGAACACUUACCAUUGACACAAGGACAAAUAUGCUAUAUGCACUGGACACCAAAAGGAA